GACGAACGCUGGCGGCGUGCUUAACACAUGCCAGUCGAACGGAAAGGCCUGCUUUCCCUUGUGGAUUGCGGGUACUCGGGUGGCGAACGGGUGAGUAACACGUGAGUGAUCUGCCCCCAACUUGGGUAUAAGCCUGGGAAACUGGGUCUAAUUCCCGAUAGGACUGCAGGGUGGUGCCUGUGGUGGCAAACGUUUUUCUAGUGGUUGGGGAUGCGCUCGCGGACUAUCUGGUUGUUGAUGGGGUAAUGGCCUACCAAGGCGGGGACGGGUAGCCGGCCUGAGAGGGGGGACGGCGAAACUGGGACUGGGAUACGGCCCAGACGGCUAGGGGAGGCAGCAGAGGGGAAUAUUGGACAAUGGGCGGAAGGCUGAAGCAGCGAGGGCGCGUGGGAGAUGACGGGCUUCGGGUUGUAAACUCCUUUCGACCGCGAGGAGGCCACGUGGUUGGAAGGGUGGCGACGGUAGUGGUAGAAGAAGCACCGGCUAACUACGUG
rnacentral:rRNA from 1 species